CGCUCAUUUUCUCCUCACCACGAUCCGACAGGCACACGGAGCAGCACCGACGCAGCCAGGGCGCAGCCAGAACUCACCAGAAACUUCACCAUUGUUACCCCCCCCGGUCUGCCGCCCCCGGCCAGGGCACGGGCCGUGCGGCCUUUCUGUGCCACCUUCAGAUGGAUCAGGAUACCCCAUUCCAUCAUUUUGGAUGAAUCACUGGAUCUUUCCAAGCAAGAUUGUUACUAACUCAUAACUACCACCCAGUCCUUGUAUUUUCAAGAGAGGAGGGUGAGCUACUGGAAGCUAACACACAAAGAACUCUUCAAGAUAUAUGAAGAUAAGGCAAAAAAGAGAAAAGUCUGAGGAGAAAAGUGUUACAUACUUUGGGAAGACAGUGGAGAAACCCACAGAUAAAAUGCAGCUUGUGCCCAUCCUUCUUACUCUCAUUUGAGAGAGAUGCAGUAUUAGAUGCUAUCUGACAAUAGAAAACACACGAACGCAAAUCUACAUAUGCAACUAAUUUAAUCAAAGGGAUGGGAGGAGUGACUAGAACAGAUCGAACGCCAAAACCAGACUUGGCCACAAGAAAAAGUGGAACUGGGAAUGGAGUGGGUAAAAAAUUUAGUCCAUAUGGUUUCAUUAUUGAUGUUCAAUAUCUUGAUCAUGUGCUAAACACAGGGAGAUGCAACUUGAACUAUGUUGUCCUAGCUGAACCUUUUGAUGGCUUCUUUCCCCAUAUUUUUCUUUAAAGAAUGAUAAAUUACCAAGGGCAACUGUAUAACAACAUUUCCUUAUUAUUCAAGUAGAUGCUGUACUUCCCAUCACCUCCAAAUGUAGCUUGAUAUAGAGUCCAUGAAGAGAAGGACAAGAAAGCAUGGGGUAUUUCUUACCAUGCAGUAAGAUUGGCUGGUGGCCUGUGCCAUCCAGGGGAAGGCUUUAAGCAACAUCAUUUUUCUUUUGAUCAUGAAAAAGCUUCAGUAGUAAAACCACAUUGUUGGUGCAAGUGUCCUUGGACUGGGGAAAGCUUCCUGCUGAUAGGACACAUGCACGAGACUGUGCUGAGCUUGUCCAGGGAAAGUAGUAGGAAUUGCCACGUUUAGGGAACUGGACCAGGCAAGUUCUAGGAAAUGGACCUUGCAAUUUUCCUCCUGACCAGAAGUGUUUUCUAUAUCCCCAGAUUCUCUUGGAUUAUAAAAUAAGUACAUUGGAAGACAGGGACAGACCCUUUGUUGCAGUUCCUCUGGGAUCAGGAAAGAAAAAUGAGCAGGAAGUACAAAACAACCUAGAAUUCAUGUUUUUAGCAUUCAGAUAGUGCUUAAACAGUUAAUACAAUUGCCAUUAGUUCUCAUGAGCUAGAAUUUCAGGUUGGGAGUCAUGCAGCACAGCAACUGUCUUUUUGUUGGGAUUCAAUUUGGCGCGGGACUGCGGGACACAGGAUGGAGGGGCCAUGGGAACUGACUGGCAGGUACUACAGCACAGGUGUACAGUGAACAGCACAGAGCUCAUUCUCCAGGUUGUCUCAUUAUUAUUCUAGUACUUUAUCACAGUGGGAUGUGUUUUUUCCCCACUAUGAGAAAUAAAUUUAAGUCACAGUACUCUUAUUACUCAAGUGGGAUGAGGCAUACAUGUUUAAUAUCAGUGCCGGCAAUUUGGAAAGCAUUGUAGAUUGUGUUUCCUGCUGUGUUCAGAAUUCUCAUCCAUUCAAUAAAACAGUUUCUACCCCUGUCCAAUCCCCCAGGCAAUCACAAUUGCCAAUUUACCAGAAAAAAUACUCCAGAUCUUUUGAGCAUCUUCCUCUCAGAAAAGGCGUAUCAGAUUUAGUGCCAAGCUUCUGCUUGAUCCAGUCACACAUUUUGAUCGAACUUUCAGAAUUGAGUAAAGCAUUAAGUACACUUCUUCCAGUAUUCAUUUUUUAGUGAAUUAUUCAGUAAGUCUAAAGCAGUAAUUGGCUUCUGUAUCUUAUGAAAGAUAACCUCCUCCUCUGCUGAACCACAAGUAUGAAUAUUGAAGGAGCCAUCUAAUUCAGACUCAGGCGGACAUGAUUGUUUUACAAGUUUGUUUUAUUUUUUUCAGGUGGACCAAUAGCUAACAUCUCCUCUUAUAGGCAAGAACAUUUUAAUCUGCAAAAGGAUUACACCUCUGAUUGAUGUUUACAUGAGUUUUACCAGCAAAUUUAACAAGAUCAAGAUUAGGUCUCAAACAAACCAUGUAAAAUCUAAGCAAAUGCAUUUUUACUACCCAGAUUUUUAUCACAUUUGUGUUAUUGGUUGCAAAUAAGUUCAAGUCAAUGAAAGAGCUAGUAUCUGUCAUUUAGCUCUCUAAGUAAGGUGCUUGUAUAUAAGCUGCAAUUUGCACUGCCUUCAGUUAAAUCUAUGAGUAGCUCUCAUCAGUGUGGAGCUAUACUGUGCUCUGGAGUGGUCUAAUCAAUUGCCAAUUUUAAUUUCCAAAUCAAAACUGUUUAUUAGACAUUCAAGAGUAAAUCUAUAUGCAUGCAAAAGACUGAUUUUUAAAGGAACUCUAAUGAAUUAGAAAUAACUCUGCUUAUUAGGAAGGAAAAUAAACAAGCCCCCCAAACUUGAAGUAAAAGGUACAUUCCCAGACAGAAAUUACUCUAAGUUUGGAGAGAAAUUUAAAUAUUGCCUAUAAUUUAAUGCAAAGUGGUUAAAGUAUUAUCAUUAUAGUUCCAAAUGUUUGCCCUAUCUCUGCAUGACUGUAAUGACAGUCAGGUCGCAACUGAUCAGAAUAAUUAAAUUGUAUGGUGAUAAUACAGUAAAUAAACAUUACCAGCAGAAUCAUAUAAUUUCUUUCAUUAACUCUGUGCAGCAUAUUCUCUGGCAGAAUAUAAGAAUGUCAACAAAAUGCAUAACACAACACAUUAUUGUGCAAAUAUUACACAUGUAAAUGAACUGAAACCCUUUCAUUUAAUUAACAAUUAUCUUGCUGUAUAAAAGACUUUAAAUAUAUUUGAGUAUAUUAAAAUAUACAGUAAAUAUUUCCUAAAUUUUAAAUCCACAUUUUAUUCAGCAGGCAGGGAACAACCCUGUGUGUCAUAUUAUUAUCCUGGCACUUCUGCCUCCUAGCAAAGAUCAGCAAGAUUGGUUGUACUGAUAAGACUGAACGGUUACGAAUUUAGAAAGCCCUUUGUGGAUUGGAUAUUUAUGUGUACUUUCCAGUUUUCAUCUUAAUGUAUGUGUGUCUUUCUGUACACACAUAUGCACAUACAGAAUAGAAGAUGGAGAAGAAUGUUGUAAGGUAAUUUGUAAAUGAGUAACUUGAUAGGAUGCUUGCAUACAAAGAGAAUGCUACCUACAUUAAGUGCUAGGCAACAGCUGCCCCUAUAUGUAUCUGUAGGUGGAUCUACGGCUUUGCCAUAAUGGAGGAGGCUGUGGUGACUGUGGUUUUUACAAUGAGGAUAGCAAUGUUCAAAUAAGCCCCCUUAAGGUAGAUUUGGGCAAGCUCAUUAAAGGAGUUUUUGUGCUGUAACACAGUUAAUAAGUGUUUCAAGUAGAGCUUAGUUUUGCUUAAAGAAUGGAAAAUAGAUUAACUCAUUUUAUUAAUGAAUAAAAACAAUUUUGGGGCUGGUAAUAUAUCAAAAAGCUCCCAAAUCCAUUUUAGAGUUUCAUAGUACAGUCAUAUCUUAUAUCUUAACACAAAUAUAUUAUGACCUAAUGCCUGACCAGUUCUGUAUUUCUAAAAUGGAGCUUUACGAUCACAUAGCACCUCAAGAAAAGAUGUGCAUAGAGAAAAGUUUUUCUUACUCUGAUGUGUGUUAGUCUCCCCCUUAUCACUCUUCUUUCCUAAAGAGCAGCAUUGAGAUGCUUAUUUGUUAUCACUUCUCUUAACAUGAUUUUAAAGUGUUCAAGAUAUACAUCCUACAGAAGCUGCUGCUGCUAACAGGCUUAGCUCUAAAUGAAAAGUUGAAUCAGUAAUUUUCUCCAACAAAAAUCAGAGAACCAAGCUAAGUUUUGGUAGUAGUUUAAUCACCGUAACCUAUGGACAUCCAUGCUGCUGUAACUCAGUACAGGUUAGUUUUUGUUCAGUAAUCCAAUUUUUGUCAGGUCUGAGAUCACAGGUAUCGUUGGUGCUCAGAAAGUGGUGUUCUGCACAUGAAGGAAAUAAUAACACAUACCACUAUUGCUAUCACUACUACUGAAAUACACAAAUGUAAAACAUACAUUUAUGAAAAAAGAUUUCCAGCACUCAGAAUUGUUCCAGAGAUGAAUGGAAUUACAAGUCUGGAAAGACUGGAAGUUUCAAUCCAGCCAAUCUGGUCUCAACACCUUCCUUUGUGUUUUUCUUGCUGACUUUCAGAUACUUUAAAAUUAUUUUCUUCUCAGUCCUGGCUGUUUUGAUGAUGAUGAACAGUGAACUUAGUAUCUUAUAAUGCUCUUUCUGUACUCCUGAACCCACAUUAUUAUCAGUAUUUCAUGCUAGGGUUGUAAGAUUUCACUUAGAAUAUUUGUAUGCUAUCUUGGGGGUUUUAUGCAAAAUGAAUAGUGGAGAUAGAAAUUACUUUUAAUAA